GAUUUUUAGUUGAGAGUGGAACGCGUUUCGAUUUGGUUGUCGUUAGUUUAAGUUCCAACUAGCGACUUAGCACCCCCAAACCCCCUUACCGCCGACCACCCCUUUAUUUUUGUAAUAGUUGCAAAAAAAUACAUAUAUAUUUAUAUGUAUAUAUUUCGAAGUGUUUUGUGCAAAAUUUUAAAAAUAAAUGCAUACAUAAAAAUAAAAAUAUGUAAUUUUAUGUAAGUGCAUGUGUUUGUGUGUGUGUAUCCAUGGAUCGCAUUCAAAUAUGGGAAGGGGAAGUGAUUUGUGCGCGGCAAAUGUUUUUGCAGUUAACGUCGCUGUCGCCGUCGCCGUCGCUUUUAGUUCUUUGAACUCGCGACGUUUUUCGAGCAAUGCCGACGUCAACGUCAACGACGCCGCUGCCGACGCCCAUGUGCAGCAGCAGCAUCAGCAUUACUGAAAAAUGUGUAACAAAAACAAAGUCACAUUAUUGUUCGUCUCGACGUUGACUUUGAUAAUGCGACGAGAAAGAGAGAGAAGGAGAGGCAGCAGCAGCAGCAGUGUGACUGAAGGAGUAGGAGUGGGAGUGGGAGGAGGAGUAGGCAGUGGCCAAUCAGUUAUUGGCCUGCCGUGUGUGGAGCAGAGCAGAGCUUUAAUGAGCAUUGAACUGCAAAUGACACAAUCAGUGUAUGCGAUGUGACAGACAGAGACAGAAUGCACUGGAGUGCGUUUCCCUCACACGCAUACAUGUAAAUGAUUACGCAAACUCAAAGAGAUAGUUGCAUACAUAUUUCCAGCUCGAAUGAAAUUUGUUUGAUUUGCCCUGACAUUUGAACAAGUAUUCGAAUAUGAAUACGAGUGCGGAACUAACGAAUCACAAUAAAAGGCUAUAUUAAAGGUUGAUAUUAUGUCUGCAUUAUUUUGAAAGUCGAAUCUUAAUGGAAAAUGGAUAAUGGAUAAUGCAUCGCACUAACGGAAGAUUUUACCAAGUACAUAAAGAAUUAGAGAGCCUGAAUGUUUACUUGAACUAUAAAUAAAUACAUUGUGAAAUUAAAAUAAUUUCUAAUAAAUGUAUAAAAUCAA